rnacentral:misc_RNA from 1 species
GAUGAAGAACGUAGCGAAAUGCGAUAAGUAAUGCGAAUUGCAGAAUUCCGUGAGUCAUCGAAUCUUUGAACGCACAUUGCGCCCUUUGGCAUUCCGAAGGGCAUGCCUGUUCGAGCGUCAUUUAUCAACCCUCAAGCCCGGCUUGCGGUUGGGUCCCGCCGUGGGCGACCACGGCGGACCCGAAAGGUAAUGGCGGUGCCCGUGGGGCCCUGGACGCAGCGAGCUUCUCGGCACGCGUCCCGGCGGUCCCCGGCGCCGUCUCCACCAAUCCACCACGCAGAUUGACCUCGGAUCAGGUAGGGAUACCCGCUGAACUUAAGCAUAUCAAUAAGCGGAGA